UUGGAAGUUAAUAAUAUUUUAAUUGGGGGGUUAAAGUAUAUUAAAAGAAAAAAUAUAAAUAUUUAUAGAAAAUUAGUAUUGUAAAAGAAUUUUGAAAUAUUUGAAAAUAAAUUUAUUAUUAAGUAAUUUUAAUUUAGUGUAUCUUGUGUAUCAGAGUUUAUUAAAUAAUAAUUUUAGUUUAAAAAUAUUCUCGAAUUUAAAAGAGAUAAUUAAUUAUAAAAGUUAUUGUUGUAUAAAUAUUUUUAAUAAUUAAUUUGAAAUGAGAUGUUAAUCGUUUUUAAAUAUAUCUAGUUUUUUUAGAAAAAAAUUUAAUUUUAAAUUUAUUAUAUUAUAUAAUAUUAAUUAUAUUUAAUAAAAAUAUUUAAUAAAUUUUAUAUUUUAAGGGAUAAGCUUUAAAUUAAAUUUAAUAUAAUAAUAAAAUAAAUUUUAUUUGAAAUUUUUAUGAUUUAUAUUAUUAAUAAAUUAUAGUUUAUUAUAAAUAAUUUCAUUUAAAAUAAAAUUUAAUAGUAUAAUUUAUUUUAGAUUUAUAAAAAUAAAUUUUUUAAUGAGAAAAAAAUUAAUAUAAUGAUAAAAUUAGUAUAUAAAAUAAUAAAUAAUUAUUAAAAAUUAAUAAAAUUAUUUAUUAGGAAUUCGGCAAAUAGGAAAUAUAAUUAUAAUACUCACUUGUUUAUCAAAAACAUGUCUUUUUGAAAAUAAUAUAAAGUCUAAUCUGCCCACUGAUAUUAAUUAAAGGGCUGCAGUAUAUUGACUGUACAAAGGUAGCAUAAUCAUUAGUCAUUUAAUUGAUGACUUGUAUGAARGAUUGGAUGAAAUAUAAACUGUCUCUUAAUUAAAUUAUAGAAUUUAAUUUUUUAUUUAAAAAGUUAAAAUGUUUUAAAAAGACGAGAAGACCCUAUAGAGUUUUAUAAUUAUUUAUAUUAAAAUUAUUUAUAAAUAUAAAAAUUGAAAUUUACUUAAUUAUUUUAUUGGGGUGAUAGAAAAAUAAAAUAAACUUUUUUUAAAUUUAACCAUAAAUAAGUGAAUAUAUGAUCCAAUUUUAUUGAUUAAAAGAAAAAAUUACCUUAGGGAUAACAGCGUAAUUUUUUUUUUUAGUUCAUAUAAAAAAAAGAGUUUGCGACCUCGAUGUUGGAUUAAGAUAAAAUUUAAAUGCAGAAGUUUAAAAUUUUGAUCUGUUCGAUCAUUAAAAUCUUACAUGAUCUGAGUUCAAACCGGUGUAAGCCAGGUUGGUUUCUAUCUUUUAAAAUUUAUAAUAUUUUAGUACGAAAGGAUUAAAUAUUAAAAUUAAAUUUAUAAUUUUGAAUUUUAUUAAAU
rnacentral:rRNA from 1 species